GCACUGUGGCAGAAAGAGAGAGGACAGAGCCACAGGCAGCUGGAGCAGCUGGGCAUGGCCUCUGGCAGAGGCCUGAGGCAUAACUGGCUGCACCUGAUGAGCAACUGAGAUUGCAGCCUGUGGGCCACCAUGCUGACUGUUUACAUAUGCAUAAUCAGAGGGAAGGGGGAAAGAUUUGGGAGAGAAACACCAGAGAAAAACCCAAGAAGCCACAAGACCCAGACGAGAAUCAGCGAUCUGGUAAUGACUGGGUGUGCUGUGAGGCUGGUGUUUAUCCCAGACAGAGCUGAUGCUGAUCACCCGUAGAAGACAAAGAAAUAGUAACACAUGGACAGUUUCAAGGUUGAUCAUGCUCGCCUGGCUUCUUGAAGAUUCUUUACAAGAUACAGUGAGGGUAACAAAUUCACGCCAUAGAGACCAUUGCAAGGUGUGGGUUAUCGAGGGCUCCACCAGUAGCUGUGUGUGGCCUGCCUUUCCCUAGCUAUAUCCCCCAGGCAGGGUCCCCGAAUCUUAAAUUACUCAUCCAGAGCCACCGUGAGGUAUUUGUGAAUAACCUGUAACAAAUAUCCAAAGGAACAUCAUGGUGACAAAGACACUGAGCCUUCAAAGAACACACGUGACACGAUUCAUGAUUUACAAACACAUGUUUCGUUUUAUUUUAGUGUGUGUCGAUGUGUGCACUCAGGUACACAUUUGGGUGUGAGUAUACAUGGAACAUGUGUGCAUGUACCUCUAAAGGUAAGAGGAAAACUUUGGGUGUUGCUACCCAGUACUACCCACCCUGCGGCGUUUUGUUUUGUUUUUAUUUUUACUUUCAUCUAUGUGUGCUGUAUUAUAUCAUCCCACCCCAUCCUCUUCCCUCAACCCUCCUGUACUUCUCUCCACUCACCCUUGAAUUCCUAGCUCCUUUUUCUUUAUUAUUAUAACACACACACAUACAAAUACACAGAGACACACAGAUAUACAUACAUACACAGACACACAGACACACAGACACACACACACAGACACACACACACAGACACACACACACAGAUACACACACAUACACAGACACACAGACACACACACACAGACACACAGACACACACACAGACACACAUACAAAUACACAGAGACACACAGAUAUACAUACAUACACAGACACACAGACACACAGACACAGAUACACACACAUACACAGACACAUACAAAUACACAGAGAGACACAGAUAUACAUACAUACACAGACACACAGACACACACACACACAGACACACAGACACAGAUACACACACAUACACAGACACAUACAAAUACACAGAGAGACACAGAUAUACAUACAUACACAGACACACACAUAUAUACAUACACACAUAUAUACAUACAUACAUACAUACAAACAUACAUACACAGAGAGACACACACUUAAACACACACAUACAUAUACACAUAUACACACAUACAUACACAUACACAGAGAGACACACACUUAAACACACACAUACAUAUACACAUAUACACACAUACAUACACAUACACAGAGAGACACACAUUUAAACACACACAUACAUAUAUACAUACACACAUAUACACACAUACACACACAUACACACAUUCACACACACACACACACACACACACACACACACACACACAAAUAGAACAUGCCGAAUCCAAUUAGUAUUACUCUUGUAUGUUUUUUGGGCUGACCAUUGGACUAUCAGGAGGCUCGUCCCUAAGGAAGAUUGACGCUCCCUCUCUCUGCAGUCAUUAGUUGCUUGUAGCUCUUCAUUUGGGGUGAUAGAGGAUCUUUCACUGGCCUGGAGCCUGUCCAGUAGGAGAGCCAACACGUGCUAGGAGUCCACUAGACCCCACCUUCCCAGCAUUAAGGCAACAGGCAUGUGCUGCCAUGUCUGGCUACUUUACCUGGGUUUUGUGGGUUGAUCUGGGGUCCCCAUGCCUUCCCAGCAGGCAGCUCACUACCAUAGCUGUCUCCUUAGCUCUCCAAACUUACAUAGCCUUUGAAAUCUGUUUGUAAAUCUAUAGUAUGAGUUAAAUAAACAUUUAAUUUUUGUCUAUGUAUUCCUAAUACUUGUCCAAACUUACUUACAUAUUUUCUCAUGAAGAAAGUCAUGUAUGCCAUUAUCUUAAGAUCGGUACAUCAUGUGACACCUCUAACCCAGAAAUUCAGAGCUCCCACGAUAUCUAGUUAGACCCAUUCCAUGCUCUCUAGAACCCUCAGGAAACUCUUGCCACCCUGUGUGAAGACUAUUAGAUACAAAGUGAACUGAGUCAACCUUGACAGAGGAUGCGGAUGUGUCAGGCUUCAAUAUGAACACUUCCCUGGUUAUUAGCUACCCUGAAGUGACUCUGUAACACAUCCUGUGGCUCUGAGGUGCAUAUUGGGCAGGUUGUGGGACAAAAUGCAAAGGUGACUUGCUGACAGGUUUGUGACUACCUGGCUUUGAGAUGGGAUGUCAGACAGGUACCAGGAAGAAGCCGUGGGACCAGCACGUAGAGGACGAGGAGAGGUAGGAUGGCUGAGUGGCUGUGCCCACAGCACCUGGCAGCAAAGACUGGCAAAGCUGUAUUUCUUUCCCUUUCCUCUCUGCUUACUCACCAUGAGUUCAAAGACUUGUGGCUGGUGAAGUGAAGCCCCCUCUCCAUCAUUGUGGUGACAAGGAUACCUUCCCCCUGAAAAGGGGCUCUCUCUGCUCUCUUAGUUCUGGAAUUCCCAUUGGAAGGGAAAUGGGACUCUGGAUGUGGGAGAGAUGCACAGUUUUCUCAUCUUCAAAAUGAAGAACUUCAGCCAAAUUGGCUUCCUCAACCAGGCCAACAGUAUUGGCACUCUGCUGAUCAGGGAAGACAGUAAGAGCCACCUCAAAUCACUUCUCGUAG
rnacentral:lncRNA from 1 species